rnacentral:rRNA from 1 species
UACGGAGGGUGCGAGCGUUGUCCGGAUUUAUUGGGUUUAAAGGGUGCGUAGGCGGCCAUUUAAGUCAGCGGUGAAAGUCUGUGGCUCAACCAUGGAACUGCCGUUGAUACUGGGUGGCUUGAGUGUUGGUGGGGUACAUGGAAUUUAUGGUGUAGCGGUGAAAUGCAUAGAUACCAUAAGGAACACCGAUAGCGAAGGCAUUGUACUUACCAACAACUGACGCUGAGGCACGAAAGCGCGGGUAUCGAACAGG